rnacentral:rRNA from 1 species
CGCCAGACUCCUACGGGAGGCAGCAGUGGGGAAUAUUGCACAAUGGGGGAAACCCUGAUGCAGCGACGCCGCGUGAGUGAAGAAGUAUUUCGGUAUGUAAAGCUCUAUCAGCAGGGAAGAAAAUGACGGUACCUGAUUAAGAAGCCCCGGCUAACUACGUGCCAGCAGCCGCGGUAAUACGUAGGGGGCAAGCGUUAUCCGGAUUUACUGGGUGUAAAGGGAGCGUAGACGGCUGUGCAAGCCAGAUGUGAAAGCCCGGGGCUCAACCCCGGGACUGCAUUUGGAACUGUGUGGCUGGAGUGUCGGAGAGGCAGGCGGAAUUCCUAGUGUAGUGGUGAAAUGCGUAGAUAUUAGGAGGAACACCAGUGGCGAAGGCGGCCUGCUGGACGAUGACUGACGUUGAGGCUCGAAAGCGUGGGGAGCAAACAGGAUUAGAUACCCUCGUAC